rnacentral:rRNA from 1 species
AUUGAACGCUGGCGGCAGGCUUAACACAUGCAAGUCGAGCGAGCGGCGGACGGGUGAGUAAUGUCUGGGAAACUGCCUGAUGGAGGGGGAUAACUACUGGAACCGGUAGCUAAUACCGCAUACCAUCAGAUGUGCCCAGAUGGGAUUAGCUCGUAGGUGGGGUAAUGGCUCACCUGGGCGACGAUCCCUAGCUGGUCUGAGAGGAUGACCAGCCACACGGGAACUGGGACACGGUCCAGACUCCUACGUGAGGCAGCAGGGGGGAAUAGUGCACAAUGGGCGCAAGCCUGAUGCAGGCAUGCCGCGUGGGUGAAGAAGGCCUUCGGGUUGUAAAGCACUUCCAGCGAGGAGGCGUUACUCGCAGAAGAAGCACCGGCUAACUCCGUGCCAGCAGCCGCGGUAAUAC